CACGUAGGGGCCAAGCGUUGUCCGGAUUUAUUGGGCGUAAAGAGCGUGUAGGCGGCUUUACAGGUCCGUUGUGAAAACUCGAGGCUCAACCUCGAGACGCCGGUGGAAACCGUAAAGCUAGAGUCCGGAAGAGGAGAGUGGAAUUCCUGGUGUAGCGGUGAAAUGCGCAGAUAUCAGGAGGAACACCCGUGGCGAAAGCGGCUCUCUGGGACGGUACUGACGCUGAGACGCGAAAGCGUGGGGAGCAAACGGU
rnacentral:rRNA from 1 species